GUUUUGUACCUCAUAUGUUCACAGGGUGGUGCCCAGUGCCCAGUGCCCAGCACAGUGUCUGACUCACUAGUAACCAGAUAAAGACUUACAGGAACCCUGCAACCUGAUAACUCAACACUGGUACAUGAAACCAGGAAAACAAUCCAGAAAGGCAGACAAGACUCCCAUUUUGAGAUGUCUUAGGAUCCAGAGUUACACUGUUCAGUACAAUUGUCACUAGCCACAAGAGACCAUUCAAAUUUAAAUUCACUAAAUUAAGAAGAAUGGUAGAAUCUGUUUUUCAACGAUGUCAGUCUUAUUGCCAGUGCUCAGUGGUCACACUGGUUGUAGCUUUCUAGUUCCCAUCAUCAAAGCUAGUUCCAAAGGGAGAGGUUUUUGUUUCUGAUAAUUAUGGUGAGCUUUAUCUAUUCCUAUACCCUUGUGAGAGCACUGGGAUUCACUGUUUCUGUAACAGUGACUUGGAACUCAUAUAGCUUGGUCAAUGACAAGUCUGGUAUUGAAUCCAAUUACUCUGAUGCCACAGAUUGUUGUGGAUUAAUGGGAUGUGGACAUACUACGGAUUUCCUUACAACGUACCAGGGUAGGAAACAAACAACCAAAACAUCAAAGUUCUCUUUUGGCUUCCUGUGUGAAUACAGUCAAUUAUGAAGACAGAAUGGAAGCACCAGUGUGAAAAAUGAAACAAUGGAUCCCAAAAGAAAUGGGAAUUUUCCUGGAAAUCUCAUGCUGGCAGAAGUACAAGGCAUCGGUGAGAAGGCAAGUUGCCUCACACAAAGGUUUCACACAAUCCUAGCAACUUGAUAUUUCUACUGCAGUGGCAUCUUGCUUUGCCAGGUGGUGGCUACACCCUAUGAGCCUGGCUUCAGGUGUGCAGAAGUGACCCCUUAUAAAGUAGAGGAGAGGCUGGCUUGCUCUCUUGGCUUGUGGUAAGAUCAUCG
rnacentral:lncRNA from 1 species